rnacentral:snRNA from 2 species
GUCUCGAAGGACCUCAGAUAAAAUUGAAAUGAUACAUAAAAGAUUAGCAUGAUUUUUGUAUAAGGAUGACACGCAUAUGAUCUUUGUGUAAGUAUGACAU